UUCCCCAACUAAUUUAUCAAAGAUUAUAUUCCUGAAGAUCUUAAUUGAUUUUCCAAAAAAAAGGGAUGAGAAUGUUCUGUGAUCAAUAACGUUUGGAAAUGACGAAUUGAAGAAAAUUGAAGAGAUUUCUUCGCUGCGGAUCUUUGUAGGGGUCUUGGCACCCUAAUGUGCAUUCGAACUGCAAAGAGGGGGCCACAGUCAGAAUUUCCGUAUUUGACCCUGAAAUCCACCCCCUCCGCCAUGGGCCCAAAUUUCACCAUCUUCUUGGGAUAUAGUGUUCCACGGGACCCAGUUUGGGAGACCCCAAUCCAGUCCAAACUUCUCAUUCAUAGAGGAAAGAUCUGAGCCUCAGAGCAAGGAAAGACUGCUGCUCCAGGUUCCGUGUUGACUGGAGGCCAGUUCUGGAAUCCUGGCCCUGAAUCUGGGGCUCUCUCAAUUAAACAGACCAUCCUGUCUGAGGCCCGGCGGGUUGAAAGGUGGACAUAGUUAAUAUCUCGGUUAUAUGUGAAAUAAAUGAGAAUAUUCUGAUGACUUUGCAAAAUAGGGCAGUCCAGAGAAGAAUGGAGGGAGAUACCAAGCUGAGGAAAGGUGGGGGAUCUGCGAGGCUGGAUGGUGGGGCUCGGGCAGAGGGUUCACAUCCUCUCUGUGUCCUCCCCCCCACGCUUCAGAACCUUCUGUGACGGCGCCACGGCUCUGCGAUGCGAUGCGAUGCGGGCCCGGAACUCAGCUCCUAGGCGCCGCGUCUCAGCGGCCAGCUGCACCCGCUUGAUGGGCGAAUCUCUCUCUUCUCCUGAAUGGGGUGAGUGGCCCCUGGCGGAGCUCAAGCCUGGCUUCUUGGAGGAUCAGGUCUGUCUUCUGCUUCCUGUGGGGCCAGGCUCUUCCUUCUGGUUUCUCCAUUUCCUAAAGAGGAAUCCAUUUCUAUUAAUGUGGAAGAAAACUGGAAACACAGAUCAGUACCGUCAUUGCAAGAAAGACAAAAGAGAAAACUAAUAUAAAGACACUCACAGGCAUGACAGAGUGAGAAAAUCCAGUAGACCAACCCCAAGACUGACUCACCCAGUCCGACCUCUCUGAGACCGUACAGCUGGAGGGGUGUGGAAGGUUGCACAAGAAAAAUCUGAAGUGUACUCUAUUGGUGUUGGUAAAUUUAGAGUAUGCAAUAGUUCUUGGAAUUCAGUGUUAAUUCUAUGGAGUUGACACAAGAGGUAGUGAAUUUACUCAACUUGGACAUGGUUUCGAAACCAUUUUGCUUUUAUUUCAAAGGCACGUAAUUCCACUGAAAGACAUGAACCAGUUAUGUCAACACGGAUGGAUACAUUAAAGGAAAGCUCUUUUAAGUGCUCGAUUCAAUUAUUGGAAACAUUUUUGGGGGUGGUUACAUAAAUAUAACAAAUUUUUCCCCUUUUAACCAUUUUAGAGUGUAGAGUUCAGUGGCAUUAGUACAUUCACAGCGUGUGCGGCCAGCACAACUGCCUAGUUCCAGAACAGUUGCUUUUCCCUAAAAGGAAACUCUACACCCAGUAAGCAGUCACUCCUUAUUCCUCCCCUCCCCCCAACCCAGCACCUGACUCCAAUAAUCUGCUUUCCAUCUCCAUGGAUUUGCCUAGUCUGCAUACUUCAUAUAAAGGGAAUUAUAAAAUACAUGACUGUUAGUGUUUGGCGUCUCUCACUUAGCGUGAUGUCUUCAGGGUUCAUCCAUGGUGUAGCCUGUGUCAGCACUCCAUUCCUUCUUAUGGUUGAGUGAUUUUCCAUUGUCCGAAUAAUCCCAUAAUUGCAUUCAUUCAUCAGUUGAUGCAUGUUUGGGUUGUCUCCAGCUUUUUGCUAUUGCGAAUAGUGCCGCUGUGAAAUUUGUGUACAGGUUUUGUUUGCACACCUGUUAAUUCUUGUGGGGUACACACCUGGGGGGAGACUGCUGAGUCAUAUGGCAAGCCUGUGUUUCACUUAGUGAGGGGCUGCUAACCUACCUUCCACAGUGGCUGUGCCAUUUAAUAACCCAACCAGCGACAUAUGAGGGUUCCCAUUUUGCCACAUCCUCCCCAGUACUUACUGUUUUCUGUUUUGUUGAUUUUAGCCAUCCUAGUGGGUAUAAAGUGAUAUCUUAUUGUGGUUUUGACUUACAUUUCCUGAAUAACCAAUGACGUGCAUCUUUCCAUGUGCUUGUUGGCCCUCUGUAGAUCUUGUUUGGAGAAACGUAUGUUCAAGGCCUUUGCCCAUUUCUUAAUUAGGUUGUCUUUUUUGGUUGAGUUGUAAGGAUUCUUAUACUCUGGUUGUUAAAUCCUCUCCGAUAUAUGAUUUUUAAAUAUUUCUCCCAUUCUGGAGGUUGUCUUUUCACUGUCUUGAUAGUGUUCUUUGAUGCACAAAAAGUUCUUAAUUCCGAUAAAGUUCAAUUUAUUUUUCCUUUUGUUACUUAUGCUUUUGGUGUCGUAUCUAAGAAACUAUUGCAAAGUAAAAGGCUGUGAAAAUUUACUCCUUUGUUUUCUUCCAAGAGUUUUAUCGUUUUAGCUCUUAUAGUUAGGUUUGAUCGUUUUGAGUUCAUUUGUGUAUAUGGUGUGAAGCAGGAGUCCAACCUCACUUUUGCAUGGGGAUAUCCAGUUGUCCAGUUGUUACAGCAUCAUUUGUUGAAACCACCAUUCUUUCCCUCAUUGAAUAGUCUUAGCACCCUCAUGGAAAAUAAAUUCACCAUAUGUGCAUUAGUUUAUUUAUAGAGCCUCUGUUCUAUUCCAUUACAUCUCUAUGUUGAUCCUUCUGUCAGUCCCACACUGCAUUUAUUAAUGUAGCUUUGUAGUAAGUUUUGCAACCAAGAAGUAUGAGUCCUCCAACUUUGUUCUCCGUCAAAAUUGUUUGACUGUUUGGGGGCCCUCACAAUUCCAUAUGAAUCUUAGGAUGAGCUUUUCCAGUUCUGCCAAGAGAGCAAGUGGGAUUUCCACAGGGAUUGCAUUGAAUCUGUGGAUCACUUGGGAUUAUUACCAUCUUAACGAUAUCAAGUCUUCCCAUCCAUGAACACAAGAUGUCUUUCCAUUUAUUUCAAUCUCCUUUAAUAUCUGUCAGCAGUGUUUGUUUCAUUUUCAGUGUACAAGUCUUCCCAAAAAGUAGAAAAGGAGGGAGCCUUUUUAACUCAUUGCACGAGGCCAACAUUAUCCUGAUAUCAAAGGCAGACAAAAACAUACGAGAAAAGAAACUACCAAUCAACGGCCUUUAUGAAUAGAGAUGCAAAAAUCCUCAACAAAACAGCAAACCAAAUCCAAUAGCAUGUUAAAGGAAUGUACACCAUGACUACAUGCGAUUUAUCCCAGCAAUUCAAGGAUGGUUCAACAUAUGAAAACCAGUCAAUGUAAUACAUACAGCACAUUAAUAGAAUGAAGGGGAAAACCACGUGAAUUAAUGCCGAAAAGGAUUUGAUAAAAUCCAACACAUCUUUUGUAAUAAAAACACUCAACAACUAGGAAUGGAAUUCCUCAACCCGAUGAAGGGCAUUUAUGAAAAACUCACAGCCAACAUCAUAUUCCACAGUGAAAGACUGCAAGUUUUCCCCUUAAGAUCAGGUACAAGAAAAGGAUGCUCGCUCUCACCACUGCUAUUCAAUAUUGUACUGGAAAUCCUAGCCAGAGCAAUUCGUCAAGAAAAAGAAAUAAAAGGCAUCCAAAAUGGAAAGGAGGAAGUGAAAGUAUCUGCAUUCUUUUGUUUGGGGAGUCUGUUAGUAGCAAGUGUUCUCUUUGCUUUUUGCUUGAACGAUUGUAGAACCCUGGAUUGAUGGGUUCUCCCAGCCAUUUUAAGACACGGUUCUACUGUCUUCUGACUUCCAUUAGGUUGUGGACAGGUUGCCUAAUGGUCUUUAUUGUGUAAUGGUCUUCUUUUCUCCCUGGUUGGUUCACGAUAUUCUCUUUGUGCUGGAUGUUCUGCAGGUGCAGAGAGCUAAGGGGUGAUUAUGAGGGUGGUCUGUGAUUCUCGACUUUCAAAGAAAAUAAUUACACCAGGGCCAGUGGGCAGUUUUCCAGAAAAGAGAACUCCCCCAGUCACUCUGAACCCUGGAACAAAAGAAGGACUUGCUAAAAUUAUACUUCUUCUUAACUCAAGAUUCUCCCUUCAGUCAGAUGAGCAAACAGCUUCCUCUAGGCCCGGAUCUGCCGAGGUUGGUCUCGGAGGACGGGGGUCCAGAAGCUGGCGUGAGGAGGCGGGUGUGGACCUUGCUCUCUGCCGUGCAGUUUUGUGCAGAGCUGGGGAGUUCGGGGUCAAUGUGCUUCAUCACAGGGUGAACCCCAGCUCCACCAGGACAAUGACACCAUAGGGACGUCACUACCUGAACAGCACUUCCAGCAAUGACCUGGAAGUUUCUGGAACCACUAGCUAUUGCUGUGGGGUCUCUAGGGGUGAAACUAUGAUCACACAACAGUCAUGAAAUAUUACUUUUCUGUUGUUACAUCCAGUCUUCAAAUUCGUUCUGGGCCAGAAGGGGCUUUAUGGGCUCAAAGACUCACCCUCUCUGCCGGCACAGGGCCCCUGUGCCUUCUGCAUUCUCUGAGGGCACCCCUUCUGCUUCACCUCCACCCCAGGUCACAGCAGGUCUGGCUCUGAGCUUGGGUCCUUCCACUGGCCUGGAACCGAGCCAGCCACCUCAGAAGCACCUCUGUCCCGCACUGGUCUUCGUCUGGUCCUGGAAUAACAAUAACAGGGCGCCACUUAGCACGGCCUGUGUCUCCACCCGGCACUCAGUCCCUGUGGGGUGCUUCCUGCCAUGAUCCCGUUUGACAGCUGAGAGCACUGAGGCUCUGGCGGUCACAUGGCCCAUCAGGGUUGGGACCAGUGUAGCUGUCCUUUCUUUUUCCACCGCACCCUGGCAGAGUCAGAGCCCCAGACUCCCCUCCACAGGCCUCCCGCCCAACUCAGGCCCAGCCUAUUCCUUUUUUUUUUUUUUUUCUACUCUUCCUUUGACCAGAUGUGCCCCUGGCAUCACCUGAUGAGGCCAAACUGGCUUCCACCUGAGACUAAACAAGAUGAUGCCCCAUCGAGACCGCCUUUGCUGGCCGUUUCUCCCCUCCUGCAUGGGGCUGUUUCAUGACUUGUUCUCCUCAGCCCCCGGCCAGGGGUCCCCUAAUUGUAGUGAAGCAAAAUGCAGACUUUGCAAUAAUUGGUGGUUUCUGCAAAAAGCUGGUUUAGAACAGAGAGAAUGGCGGAGUCUCAAGGCUAAAGCGAGUUUGGUCAAGUUGGAAAAUGCAGCCUGGCAAGUCAGGCUGCCAGCCCUGGAGACUGGGGAGAAAGGGUGCCCGAUCAUUCUACUCUUCGGGUUCUGUUCCCUGUGACCCAGUGAGGCUGGUCGGGGGCGUCUCCACAGCUGAACCUCACACACAGCCUCUGGAUGCAGAAUGGCAGUAGCUCCUAUCAGCCGAGUGCUCACAACGAUCCCAGCUGUGCACUGAGCCUGGAACGCGUCCUCUUGAGUCGACUGUCGUGGGGUGACUGGUGACCCCAAAAGACGUCCGCGUGCUAAUCUCCAGAGCCUGUGAAUAUGACCAUGUUUGGGAAAAGGACCUUUGCGGGUGGAAUUAAGGAUCUCAAGACCAUCCUGGGUUAUCCGGAUGGGCCCUCCAGCCAAAGCCAGGAGUCCUUAGAGAAGACACACGGAGGAGAGACAGACGGAGGAGAAGCCCCGUGAAGACAGGGCAGAGAUGGGAGCCAUGCGGCCCAAGCCAAGGAGUGCCUGGAACCACCAGGAGCUGGAAAGACAGGGAAGGAUUCUCCUCUCCAGCCUUCGGAGGGAGCACGGCCCGCCUGCCGAGACCUCGAGCUGGGACUCCUGGGCUCCAGAACCGCGAGAGCAUACUUAACGUGUUAGAGCAGCCCUAGGACAUGAAAGGGAGAUAGGCGCUGUCGUCUCCCAUUUUGUAGAUGAGGAAACUGAGGCACAGAGCUGAAUAACUUGUCCAGGGUCCCAAAGGUGGGAAAAGACAGCACCAAGAUGCAAAUCAGACAGAAUGGCCGGGAGACCAAGCUCCUGGCUGCUGCCUGCGCUGCCUCGCGCUCUGCUGGCUGCUAGAAAGGGCUGAGAUAAAUCUGCCUUCAUACCCCCGUGUGCAGACGGGGAAGACGAGGCGUCCGUGGAGGAAUUAUUAGGGAACAGAACUCGGCCGGCGCGUUCGAGCGCACAAGCGGCCCCUCACGCCUUGUUCUUGCUCCCUGCUCUCAGCCGGCUGGAGGGGUGGCUGCUACAGUGCCUGUUUUCCAGAUGCAAACAUUGGAAUGGGAGCUCUCGAGCGUAGGGACUGUUCACCAUCGCUCCUCUGAGCUGGCCCGGGCCUGGCUGAGAGUACCUGGGGGAUGUGUGGUGACAUGCCCGAGGUCACAGGGCCUGCCAGUGUGGGACCAGGGACUCGGGCCUGGAUUUCCUAACUCCAACUGCUGUGUCUUUGUCCUGCGGAACAGACGCUAAGAGAUUAUAGGAGAGAACGAGCGCAGGGCAAAAAGACAUCGUGAGCUCCGGAGAAGCUGUUGGCGGCAGCUUUGGGCCGACGCGGCUGGGCCUUGAAGGUUGGAAGAGUUUAGACAGCUGGAGAUGAGGCCGAAGAGGUGAACCGGCCCCCGGGCUGGUGUUGCCAGGGCCUGGGGCGGGCAGGAGGCUGGGAGCCAGGGCUGGGGCAGGAGGCCCAGGUCUGCCCAGCAGCUUCCCUCCUCUUGAAGCCCGCCCCCAGCCGACACCGCGCGGGCCUGAGCCGUCAAAGACAGGCCUGUGGUUCAGGUCCUUCCUCGUUCACCAAGAGUCAGAAGGGAACUCCCUCCGCAAGGUGGAUCUGCUCUGGGGUGUGUCACGUAGUGGCACAAUUUAUACACGUCCCGGGAGCCCUGGGACAUUGGCCCAGUUUCAAAACCAGCUGUCUCACUCCUCUAGGCUGGAGGCGUGUUCUGGAGCUGGAAGCAUCCUUUCUCUGGCUCCCAGGAGUCUGUCUUUGUGGUCAGAGAGCUGAGCUCUGCUCCACCCGGUCACACGGCCACCCUGCUGGACUCCCAGUUCCCAGCACGUCAGGCCCUCGCCCUGUCGCAGCCCCUGUCCCUGGAAUUCCCGUCCCCCAGCUCCUUGAAAGCCCGGCUGCUUUUCAUCUUCAGAUGGAAAUGCCUCCUCCGCGCAGCUCUGGCUCCCGACCCUCCCCGCCAGGCCCGUCCCCACAAUCUCUGAUAAUUUGGUUGAUUCGAUGACUUCUCGUCCACAUGCUCGCUGGACGGCCAGCCCCGCCCACUGCUGGACCGCGGCGGCCUGAGCGCGCGGGUGGAGCAACGUGCCGCCUAAGGAACAGUCAAUUAAGACUUGCUGACUUCAUGAUAACCGACGUCUGAUCCCAGGGCAGCAACCUGACCCCUGUGGGAUCCCAUUUUUUCCAUCAUAAAAAUGAGGAUUUGGGAGCAAAAGGCUGAAGCAUCUUCUCCCCCCGUUUCCCAUGAACUUGUGACUGGACUCAAGGAACCGGGGAGCGAAGGCCUGGAGCGGCUUCUCGGACGCGGCCUCUUGCUGCCCUCUAGCGGCCAAGACGGUGAAUGUCCCCUCAUCGUUUCCCCUGGUCUCGUCCCAGCUCCACCGAGAACCGGGAGAAAGCGGCUGUCUUUAGCAGAAUAAAACUUCGGAAAGGAAAAGAACUGUCUGCGUGCUCCGCCAGGGUCUCCUUGGACAUAUUCAGCGGCCGAAGAAAAUGGUCCACGUCUUCUUCAUUAGGGUGCCCCCGGCGCUGGGCCCUGGAGCGUGGGAGCAGGUGCGAUGCGGCGGGAGGGGCUCUGAACCUGGGCACCGGGCAGCCCUCUCGGAACCUCUGUUUCCUCCUCUGUGACGUGAGUAUAACAAUAUCUGCCUCACACUUGUGGGAUUAAAUGACCCAAAGUGCCUGGCAUGGGGUAGGUCCUCAGCGAAGGUGAGCGCCCUCUUGGCCCUCGACGUAUUUGGUGUGAGUGAAAUGCAAUCACAUACAUAAGGCAACGAGCCACAGCCCAGGAGAAAGCAGCAUAAAUGGCGUGUGAAGGUGUAGGAAGCCGUGCUGUAUCCUGGGAAAAUCCUGGACUGUGAUCAAGAGCUUUGGGAUCCAGAUUUAUUAGCCCUGACUCACAGAGGAUGUGUGUCGUCUUCUGGACCUCAGCUUUGUCAUCUGUGAAAGGGAAGGUUGGAUGGCAGAAUCAUCUAGAAGGCACUUGGCUUCCAGUAACUGAAAACCCAUUGGCAGUGACUUCACCCAGGGGCCAGCAAAGUACAGCCCACGGGCCAAACUCAGCUUGCCACCUGCUUUUGUGCAGCCAGUGAGCUAAAAAUAAUUUUUACAGUCUGAACAGUUGAAACAAAUCAAAAGAAAUAAUAUUUUGUGAUGUGAAAAUUAUACAAAAUUCACAUUUCGGUGUCUAUAAAUCAAUUUCUAUCGGAACCCUGCCACACACCAUCAUUUGCGUGUCUGUUGCUGCUUUCACACUAUAAUGGCAGGGUCGAGCGGUUGACUUGGAAAGCUGGAAACAUUUACUAUCUGGCCAUGGACAGAAAAAGUUUGCCAACGCCUGACUUAACCAAUAAAGAUAUUUCAUUAUCUCGCAGGACUCACAGCUCAAGAUGACAGGGUUCUGGGUCUGGGUCCCUGCAGUUCUCUUGGUCUUUCCUCCUGGUCACAAGAUGGCGGCCUCAGUUCCGUGAGUCACAAUCUACAUUCAAGACAGGAAGUAAGGAGCAGGGAGAAAGGCUUUCUCCUGCCAUGGCUCCUUUAUCCGGGAAGAAGAUAUUUGCCAGAGGCCCUACAGGAGGCUCCCCCAUCCCAUUGGCCAGAACUAGGUCACAUGACAAACUCUGGACCAAUCACUCAGAAGGGAUAAAACUGCCUUAGCCCAAGGAGGCUGCUAAGGACCCACCUCUCCUGAGAGGAGGGGAUCUGGGCAUCGCUAGUUUCCAGCUGCACGACCCAUUUUAGAACUUACAUUUGAAUACUCUCUGUUGACUUGAAUCCACACUCUGGGCUCAGGAUGUAUUUGUGAGUGAUUUUCUUCAUUUAAGAUUUUUCAAUCUUCCCUUCUUUGCAUUUUGCUUGGUUGAAGACAUUGCUAUUAAUGUUGUUUCUUGACACCAAUCCUUAAUUUAGGCCCCACCUCCACCCCCAUGUAUGAGAAGGUUGAGUUGUAGACCGGAGAUGGGAACAUUUCCCAGGGCGCGGUCACAGGCGAGCCUGCUUGUGGCUGAGUCAAAACAGAUGGCGAGUUCCCCAGGAUGGUUAGCCUGAAGCCAGCGCGGCCUCUGCAAGAAGGGCCAACCUCCUGAAGUGUGUCUGUGGAAAGGCAUCCUGCAAGAUGCUACAGCUCUCUAGAGCUGGUGGAUGAGGAAGCGUGGCUUCAAGCGUCAAAUGGGAACAUUUCACAGGUGAAUCGAGAAGCCAUUUCCUGAGGACUUCAAGCUGAAACCAAAGGCUCCUUGUUGUUACAAAGAUCGGGAAUUGCACAUACAGACGCAAAGGAAGACAUCGCAGAAAUGGGAAGAAAGCUGAAAGAACUCACGCAGCAAAUAAAAAACGGGGUCAGAGGCCCCAAGAGAGGAGCUAAGUCCUAAGGCGCCCCCUCCAUCCAGAAGGCAGACAGGGGCUUAGAGAGAAAACGCAGAAGAGAGACGGCAGGCCCCAGUGCUCCUGGGAAGGAGGACUGUCCUUGAACUAUGACCUCGUCUUGGAUUUGGGGUGGGUUUCUUGACGGAGCAUGCCGUCCGAACGUCCGUACCUGAGGUCUUUCAUGUGCUAAGGGAAAAGAGGGACGGGGUCCAAGUUCCGCCAACAGGAGGCACGGGGCUCAUCCCUGACCAUCAAGAACCAAAGAGAAUCAAAAGAUGCAAGUCCUCUGCACCUUGAUUUCUUCCUUUGGAAAACGGAAAUUUUAGCGUCUGCGUGGCCGACUCAGCACCUAUUCCAUCCCCUUCCAGGCUGCCUUCCGGUACCAUCAAAGCUGGGAACCCGAUUUGUCAGACUGCUUUGCCGCCAGGGUACAGGCACGUGACCUGGUUUGCCUGAUCAGUGGCACUGCCUCAGGACUCAGAUGUGGAAGCGAGCAAAGCAAGAAGGCAGCUGCAGGCUGGGAGACCGGACUUUCUGGAAAGCGCCAAGGCAGAGGCCUUGAGCCUUCUGGGAAAACGCGGAGGAAUUUUGCACGUUCAGCUGCAAACACCAGGGUGGUGUCUGGCAGGUGGCAGCCGCAGAGGGCGUCUGCUGGUCUUGCGGUGAAUGGGGGCAUUUUUAGGGCUCUCUGGAACCAAGGCUUGUCCAGGACUGUCUGGGGCUGGGCAGCAUUCGGGCUUCAUCCUUUGGUUGUGUCAGAGAGCCCAUGAGGGACCUAAUACGUAAAGUUUAUAACUGUCUUCGGCGCCAACUUGCUCAUGUGGAUUCUGUUGCCUGAGACUAACGACCCUUCCCUGAACCACGUGCAAAACGUUAGACCAGCGCCAGGCAUGUGGCAAAGCCUCUCCGGACAUCAGCGAACGGUCUGUAUUAUCUGAAUAUUCUACCGAGAGAAUGACACCUCUGCCCUGGUUCAGCAAGCAUGAGUUUAAGAGGCCGUCGGCUUCUCACCCGCGGAACUGAACUCUCAAAGCCCCUCUCCCGGAGGAUGGAAACUUGACCUUGCCAUUCGGAGGCAAACCGUCAAGGUCAGCUGGGCUCAAGCCCAGUCAGUGAAGGCUUCUUCCCCUUUCCCCUCGGACGUGCCCUCCUGGCAUCAGUGGCCUGGGGGCGCCCGUUUCCCCUCCUCAUCCCGUCCCAUCCCACGGGGCAUCCAGGGCUGGUGGAGUCGGCCUGGCCUGUGUGCUGAUCCCUGACAUGUCAUUCUUCUGCGUUCACUGCGCUGACACCGGCUGCCGCUCUGCUCCCUUUGUCAGGUCCCCAAAUAUCACUCCACAUCCCCUCCCCCCUGUCGCCAGGCCUCUCCAGCUUCCUCAGCCAGCUGCCUGUUUGUGUCCCUCCUUGGGGUCCUGGAACCCUCUCAGACCUCAGACCCUCGUCCCUGCCACUCUAGGGCCAGGGUCUGGGGAGGGAGGCAUCUCUGUCAUUGGGGGACUUCACCGGGCACAGUGCCCGCUGAGGCUCCGUCUGGGCAGGGGGUGCAGGUCUCCUCUGCUCUGGAGUCUCCAGCCUUCCCCCACCCUGGCCUGUCGCAGUCCCCGGCACCCUCUGAUCCUCCUCCACACACCUCCUCAGUUUGAGCUCCUGCCUCCUUUUGAGCAGGACCGUUGCCCUUUUGCCAUUGAACGUCCUUUCCCACUCCGUGCUUUAUACUACAGAAUCCAUGCUGAGUCCUCCAGACGCUUAACUUUGUGUAGCUUUAAAAGGUUUGCUCCUCACAUGAAAAGGCCUGGCUUUUUCAAAAUGUAUUCAAGAAUUUCUUCACUGAAUUUCUCUGCAACAUUCACCGGGGGCAGGCGCUCUGCGGGCACGGGAAAGCAGCCGUGGACAGACAGAUGGCUUGCAUUCCAGUGGGGAGAUGAGCAGUGAACACAAGCAUAAGUCAAUUGCUUAUUUGUUUUUGGCGGUGACAAUGCCUUGCAGAAGGCAAAAAGAGACUACAAGACAGAGUGGGGAGGUGGUGGUGCUACACUGAGUAGGAUGUCCAGGAAGGCCUGGUGGGUACUUCACUGGGACCUAAAUGCCAAGAGGAAUCCCUCCAGAAGAGAGGGGUCAAGUUGAGGUCCCCAAAUGGAAGGACAGACAACAGGUGCAAAGGCCCUGAGGCAGGAAUGAGCUUGGUCAUGGUCAAGGAUAAGAAAGAAGGCCAUAUAUCAAAUGCUGAAAACAGUGGGGGAAGAAGAUCAGAAUAGGUCCUCUGAGACCCUUUUAGGCCGCUUGGAAGCUGUGCAUUGUUCUCUUAAAGCUUGCAGUUUUUAAGUAGAGAAGUGAUUUGCAUUUUAAGAAGAUCAUUCUAAUUGCUAAUUAUAAGAGGAGGAGAGAGCAUGGGAGCAGGGAGGAGGCAUCUGUAAGAAGCUGAGUGAGUGAUGGGAGUGGGCUGGACUCAGAGGAUGAAGAUGGCGAGAUGUGGACGGAUUCUGGAUACAUUCUAAGGGAAGGAGUAAAGGAAAGGACUGAAAGAGUUGCUGUUGGGCUGCUGAGGGGGGGACAUGCAGAAAAGAGGGGACCAAAGACGACGUCCACAUAUUUGGCUUCAACCUCUGGUUAGCCCCUGGGACAACUGGACCAGUUUUACAGAAAAGGCAACACUUAGGAAUUAACCCAAAUGCACUUCUUGUACAAGAGCUCUGUGUGUGUGUGUGCAUGCGUGUGUGCAUGCGUGUGUGUGUGUGUGCACGUGUGUGUUGGCUUUAGUUAGUGGAUCUCUCUUCUCUCACUAGGAUGCUGCCGUGCCCAGCAGGCUGGGCAAGGACCAAAGGGAUGGAGAGCACUCACCACCGGCCAGAUGGGCACAGGCUGGCCCACUGCAGCCACCUGCUAAUGAAUACCUGCCUCACGGCAUGCUCACCACGUGCUGGCACAGCAUAUAGCUCCACCCACGUCAAGGGAUGCGAUCCUUAGAGCCGCCCCAUGAGAUGUGUUAUUAUGAAUCCUCAUCUAUGGAUGGGGAAACUGAGGUUCAGAAAGGUGAGGUGACUCUCCCAAGGUCACCAGCUGGUGGGUAGUAGAGCCAGGAUCUGAACUCACGCCACCUGAUUUCAAAGUCUAGGCUGAUCAAGCACCCAUUUCAGCUCCGGUAAGGAAAGGCCGAGCGGGGCAGAGAGCCGCGAAGCUUGUCUUCCUCUUAAUGCAUCUAAAUGGAAAGGCCCUGAGCAAAGUGCCGGCCCUGAGUAAGUGCUCAACAAAUUAUAAUCAUAUCAACUAUUAUUUUUAUUAACACCCAGGAACCAGGCAGGCUGGGGCCCUCCUAGCUCCCUGCUCUGCGGGAGGCAGGAGAUGCAAGUUGGGAAGAAACUGAUUUCCAUCCGAUGCCAAGCCGUCAAAAGUAACUGGCAGGAGAGGGGAGGCCAGACAGAAUAUGUAAGUCUGUCUGUUUCUCUUCACUUGUUGUCACACUAUUAUAGCUAAAGAGGGAAAACUUAGUAAGAAAAAGAGCAUACGUCUGCCUACAUUUUUCUAGAUUUACAUUCUUUUCACUUAUUGGAAAAGGAAAAAAAAAUAAGACCAAAUGUUUAAGGCAUGAAAAAAUCAAAAGGCAAGAGAUAUGGAGGGGGAGAAAUCAGACUGGCAGCUGCGUGGAAACUGAAAAAUGGAAAUGACAGGGAGCGGGCUUCAGCGAUGUGACACCACCGUGCUGGAAUUAACUCCUGCUGUCGGGAGGAGAGAAUGGAGUGACAGGAAGCUGCAGGGGGCGACCCUCCAAAUCCAGGAGGGAAAUGAACCCCAUACACAAAAGUGAGCCCCCGGGGCAGGUUGGGAGGUGGGGACAGUGGGAACUCCUUUGGGAGGGAGGGGCGGACAGGCAUUCCUGCCCCCAGGGUUGAUGUCCCUGUAGGAAUAAGGAUUCGCCUCCAGGGGGAGAUCGACUCUGUGUGCCCGGAAGAUGUGGUUACACGGCAGGACACAGACAGCGAGAGGCGCUGGGCUGCGCCCACCGGGGAGAUGGAGAACGGAUGUGCACCACCCCGAGGCGGGACAGCUCAGCCUGCCUGACACACGCUCUCCCCUCACAGGGCCUCCAGCGAGGGCUUCUGGAGUCAAAACCAAGCUAUGAAAGAGUAAAUGUACAAAAAAACAAAUAAAAGGAACGUGGUCAGUUGGGCGGAAUUUGACGCAUUUCAAGUCAGGGACUCCAGUAAUCGUUGCCGUGAGAGUUGCCUUUCUGGGAAUGACAGACUCGCGAGGAGGGAAUGGAGCUGAUACCCUAAAUCAGGGGUCGACAAACGUUUCUGAUCUAAAUAAAAUAUUUUAGGGUUUCGGGCUGCCGGGCUCUGUCGCAACUGAGCUGACGCAGUGUGAAAUUAGACAUAGACAACGUGUAAAUGAAUCAGCAUGUAAGUUUUCCAAUAAAAUUUUAUUUAUGGACGUGAAAAUUUGUGUUUCACUGUUAAGAGAACAAAAAGAUAAGCCACAGAUGGGGAGAAAAUAUUUGCAAAAUAUGUCUGAUGAAGGAACUGGUAUCUAAAAUAUUCAAAGAACUCUUAAAACUCAACAGUAAGAGAACAAACAAUCCUAUUUAAAAAUCAGCAGAAGAUCUAGACAGAUGCUCCAUUAAAGAGGAUGUGCAGAUGGCAGAGGAGCACAGGAAAAGAUGCUCAGCACCACACGUCAUCAUGGAAGUGGAAAUUAAAACAACAGUGAGAUACCACUGUCGACUGACCAUGGUGUCUAAAACCCAAAAGACUGACAUCACCAAACGCUGGUGAGGACGGGGAGCAACAGGAACUCUCAGUCGUUGCUGGUGGGGAUGCAAAAUGGUACAGCCACUUUGGAAAGAGAGUUUGGCAGUUUCUAACAAAACUAAACAUACUUUUACCAUAGGAUCCAGCAAAUGCACCCCUUGGUAUUUACCCAAAGGAGUUGAAAAUUUAUGCCCACACAAAUGUUUAUCGCAGCCUUAUUCAUAAUUGCCAAAAAGUGGAAACAACCCACAUGUCCCUCCAUAGGUGAAAGGAUAGACAAGCUGUGGUCCCUCCAGACAAUGGAACGAUAUUCAGCAAUAUGAAGAGAUAAGCUAUCAAGCCAUGAAAAUACAUGGAGGAAGCUUAGAUGCAGAUUACUCAGUGAAAGAAGGCAAUCUGAAAAUUCGACCUACCGCAUAAUUCCAUCUACAUGAUAUUCUAGAAAAGACAAAACUAUGGAGACAGGAAAAAGGUCCAUGGAUGCCAGGACUUUAGGGGGAAGAGAGAGGGAUGUGUGAGUGGAGGCUCUGAUUUUUCGGGCAGUGAAACUACUCGGUGUGAUGCUGCAAUCGUGGGUCCCUGUCAUUAGACAUUUGUCCAAACCCAUCGGUCGUGCAACACCAAGAGUGAGCGCUCGUGAGAACUGCAGACUUUAGCUAACAGUAAAGUGCCAGGACUGGCUCACCCACGGCAGCAACUGUACCCGACUAAGAAGGGAUAAUAAUGACGGGAGAAACUUGAGAGUGGUGGAAGGAAAGGGGUACACAGAAACUCUGUACUUUCUGCUCAAUUUUUCUAUAAACUUAAAACCAGUCAAAACAAAAACAAGAAAAGAAAAAUGUGGAUUUCAUAUGAUUUUCAUGUGUCAAAAAAUUAUGCUUCCUUUGAUUGUUUUCCAACCAUUUAAAAAUGUAAAAACCAGGGCCGGCCCAGUGGUUACGUUCUCAUGCUCUGCUUCGGCAGCCCAGGGUUUGCAGGUUCAGAUUCUGGGCGCAGACCUAGCACUGCUCAUCGAGCCAUGCUGUGGCUGUGUCCCAUAUACAAAAUAGAGGAAGGUGGGCACCAAUGUUAGCUCAGGACCAAUCUUCCACACCAAAAAAAAUUGUAAAAACCAUUUUUAGCUUGCGGACCAUACAAAAACAGAUGGCAGGUGGAUAGGAGGCAUUUUGCCAACCCCUGUGCCUAUAUAAUCAUGUUGAUAAAGACCAAUCUCCUCUGAGAACUUGGGGACAGAUGGAGGGGAAUGGAGGGAGCUGCUCCCUGACAGCCAUCUUUAUGGAUAUUUCUCCUUCCACCAUCACAGCCAGCAUACAGGCUGGGAGUCCUUCCCCAAGGGUGUUGCUGACUCAGAGUGACCACGAGAGGCCAGGAGUAGAAUGGGUGUGACCAGGGAUUCCAGAGCCAGGUUUCCUGCCACUCACUGGCUCUGUGGCCUCAUGCUGGUAACUUAACUUCUCUGUGCAGUAUUUCUUCAUCUGUAGAACACAGAUGACAGUGAUAUAAUCUAUUAUGCAGGUGCUAGUGAAACCAGAUGAUCUGAGCACUGUUACAGUAUUUCCAUCCUCUAGCACGGGUCCUAGCAGAUAGCCACUGCUCAAAUAUUUUUGGAAGGAAAAGAGAAAGGAAGAAAAGAGACUGUAUAAGUCAGCUAUUUCUACAUCAAUGCUGCAUAACAACCAUCCCCAAACUCAGUGGCUUACAACCCAGAUCCUUUAUUCUCAUACUAAUGGUCUAUAGGUCAGCUGCCACUUGGCUGGGCUGCACUGGACUCCUGGCUCCAGGCUCCAGUUUGUCCAGGUGGCAGGUUGGGUUCCGAUCUUCUCCCUCCAUAUGUCUUUCAUCUUCCUUGGGCCAGUGGCUGCUUGGUGUGAGUGGCCUACUCUGCGUGUGUCACCCAAGUGAAGGGCCGGUGGCUACCUGGGGCAUUCUCCUCGUGGCAAUCACAGGGGCACAGUUCAAGGGCGUGAUCAUGUCGUGUCUACUAAUUAGUGUCAUGUCUUGUCCGCUGACCGAAGAAAGUCACGUGGCCGGGCCCACAGUCGUGUUGCCCUGCAGGUGACGGAGAGCCAAGACCUGAUAUGGGACGUUGGCUGUGUCCCCUGUGGGCUCGGAGUCCCUAAGGUCCAGGGGGCCUUUCAUCUUACAUCCUGCCUAGUGGAAGUUCCCUAAGACCAGGUCCAGGAGGCCAGAGUCAGACACCGAGGUGCUAGACUUCCUGUUGCAGGAGGAAAACCAAACUCAGAUUUGUCUGAGCCGGUGUCGAGCCGGCUGUGCUGUCAUGUGCACUGAGCAAGGAGGAGGGUACGGCUCUCUGAAGCCAGGAGAUAAAGCCACGGGCAGGGCAGGAAGGGCCAGAAGACAGAGGCCAGAGGGUCACAGCAAAGCCCAGGCAGCUUUGCUCCGGGAACACAGUGUCGGCCCGAGUCCAUCCUCCCAUGCAGCAUGCUGCCCCAUAACGGCCCAUGGAUGGACUUGAAUUUAUUUUCCAUUUAAAAAUAACUUCUAUAGAAUUUUCUGAUUUCAAAAGCAACACCUCUUUUCUGGAGAAAAGUUAGAAAGUGCAGAUAACAAAGAGAAGAAAAUAAAAAUGCACCCGCUAUUCUCCCCCGCAGUGAUAGUCGCUUCUUAGACUUGCUCCACAGCCGUCCGGCCUCUCCCUGUGGGCGCAAUAUAUUCAUAUUUCCAUGGACAUCGAUGGAACCCCACACUACAUACCCACUAUAACCUUUCCUUUCCUCGUGUGGAAAAACAUAAUUAAUGUCCUUCCAUGUCAAUAAUCUACAAUCUCAUUCUUUUUUUUUAGAUUGGCACCUGAGCUAACAUCUGUUGCCAAUCUUUUUCUUUUUUCUGCUUUUUCUCCCUAAAGACCCCCAGUACCUAGUUGUAUAUUUUAGUUGUGGGUCCUUCUAGUUGUGGCAUGAGGGACGCCGCCUCAGCGUGGCCUGAUGAGCAGUGCCAUAAUCUGCGCCCAGGAUUCGAACCAGUGAAACCCUGGGCUGCCGAAGCAGAGCUCGAGAACUUAACCACUUGGCCAUGGGGCCGGCCCCUACAAUCUCAUUUUUAAUGGCUGUAUAAUAUAUCCCACUGCAUGGGCGUACAGGUAAUUUAAUUGGUCAGUCCCUUGCUAUCGGACAUUUAAGCUGCUUCCCAAUUCUCACUUUCUAAACUACAGGGAUGGACAUCAUUUGGGCUGCAUAUUUACCCACAUCCUCAUUUACUUGCCUAAGUUCCAUUUCUAAAGAUGGAGUUAACUGAUCAAACGAUACACUCAUUUUUAAGCCUUUGAUGUACAUUGCUUAACUAACCUCAGAGAAGUAGUAGUAAAUUAUACCCUGGAGAUGGAUAUUUAAGGGGACCCUGCUGAUCUUUAUGCAAAGGGUCCAGAACAAAGCCUUGCACGUAGCAGGAGCUUAAUGAAUGUGCACAGAUUGUAAUUGGAGCAUAAUAAACCCCGAGUCCUCCAUCUUCAGGUCUGCUGUACUUUCUGGGAGCUCAGAGACCGAGCAAAGACUUGCUCCUAAAAAUGAGAGAAAGGUAAGAGAUUGUGAAAAGGAAGAGGGGCAGUAUCUCGGGGAGUGUGCCAUUUAAUAAUACAUAGGUCGUUACACGGCACUUUCAUUGAAAUAUGGGUACUAACGGUCCCGUUAUGAAGGUAUCUAUUCUAUUAUAAAUCAGAGUCUAAAUUAUUUAAAACAGCCCAAUGUAACUAAGUUGGGCAAAAAUCAUUUGCAUAAAAGUACCAGGGCUCAGAGGCUGAAGACCACACAGGAAAGAACUAUUGCAAUGUCCAACCUCAGAAAAAGCACAGCAGAAUUAGCGCUCGAGAAAACACACUCCCUUCCACCUCUGACGCCCCUCGCCCACGGCAAGCACUUCACAGAAGGGUACGUGCAAAGAUAAAGGGGCACUUUAGAUGAGCUCGCCCUCUAAGCUUUGAUUUCUAUUUUUUAGGCUCAUUUUUUACAAAGCCUCAGAGUAGAGGGCUUGGUUCCUUUUGACAGAAAAAAAUAAUCAUUGAAAAACAGAAGGACGUUUGGUUCAGCCUUACGAUGGUUUCUGUGUUAAGCUUCAUAAAUGAAAGUCAUCUUAAAGUGGAUUUACCCAGCCCUGACAUCAAAGAAAGGAGGAUGAAGGAGAAAAAUGUAUUAAAACAUGCAAAAAUAAUCUUUCUCUAAAACCUGACAUUUAUUAACAUAACUCAAAGAAAUACAUUAAAAUUAAUCUGCGGAUUACAGCAAUUGGAAAUGUAUGGGAAGAAUACAAGAAUAAAGGGGGGAAAACAAACAAAAUGAAACGUUUUGACAUUCUGAAGUCUCUUUUCAUUUAACAACAAGUAUUUUUCAAAGAACACAAGGCUCUCACAGUUUAUUAACAAUUCAAUUUUUUACAAGCUACAUUCAAUUUUGAUCAUAUACAAUAAUAUGAAAAAUCCUCUUUCGGAUUACCUGCACAAAAUUGCAAAGAAAAAAACAUUAUAAGAUUAUGUGACAGCCUCAAAGCUGAAUUACAAACGUGUGCACCCGGCGGCAGAUACAAAUGAGGGAGAAAGGAAUAAGCAAGUUUUCAAUUUCCCCACAAGGACCUGAUGUUAAUUUUAAUUCACUGACACGCUGCUUUGUAAAGGAUUAUUAAAGAAAACAAAGAACCCGAUGGCUGAUGAUAUGAAGGGCGUGGAAAUUAUUGCCCUGAGAGAUUGUCACUCAGAAGCUGGGUGAGUUUCCCCAUCGCUGGGAGCCUCAGUUUCUUAUCUGUAAACUGGGAACGACCACGACGCCUGCCCGUAGGGUUAAUGUGAGGAUUUCGAUAGAUGGUGGAAUUCAGGUGCUGGGCACACCUAGGGACUCCCUGAAAAAUGGUGAUUUUCAUUGACAUGAGCAUGGC
ensembl:lncRNA